rnacentral:rRNA from 1 species
AAACCAAGAAGAUUAAGUCAUACAUGUUCGGUAAAAAGAUAGUUAGGUUUUAGCAAAUAGUCUUUUUAAUUAUUAUUAAGAAGUAAAAUUCGUAAAUGAUAUAGAAAUUUAAUUAAGACUCUAAUACUGAAGCUAUGAAACCCUUGAGGGAAACUGGGAUUAGAUACCCCACUAUUCUAGGAAAUAAAUUAAUAUUCUUUACCAGAGUACUAUGAAUUUAUAAUAUUUAAAACUCAAAGAGCUUGGCGGUGUUUUAGACUUUUUAGGGGAACCUGUCUCAUAAUCGACAAUCCACGUAAAACCUGACCUUUAUUUGCUUUCAGUUUGUAUACCGUCGUCGUCAGGUAACUUUUAAGAAGAUAGAAGUUAGCAAAAGAAUUUUAGAUAAAUUCUUACGUCAGAUCAAGGUGCAGCUUAUAUAAAGGGAGGGAUGGGUUACAAUUAUAAGAAUUAUAAUUACCAAGUAAUAAUCUUAAAUAAUAAUUACAAAGGAGGACUUAAAAGUAAAAUAGAAUAUAUAAAUAUAUUGAAUU